rnacentral:rRNA from 1 species
UACGUAGGAAGCAAGCGUUGCCCGGAAUUACUGGGCGUAAAGAGCUCGUAGGCGGGGGCGUGCGUCCGGAAAGAAAUCUCAAGGCUCAACCUUGGGGCUAUUUCGGAUACGGCGCUUCUUGAGGGUGAGAGAGGAAAGCGGAAUUCCAGGUGUAGCGGUGAAAUGCGUAGAUAUCUGGAGGAACACCAGCGGCGAAGGCGGCUUUCUGGCUCAUUCCUGACGCUGAGGAGCGAAAGCGUGGGUAGCGAACGGG